rnacentral:tRNA from 1 species
GGUGGCUCAGUGGCAGAGUGCUUGCCUUGCAUGCAAGAGGCCCUGGGUUCAAUUCCUCAGCACCA